GGUGUAGCCGGUGGUCCCUCUGGGUACUGCCUGGUUUAGCCCUUCCUUCUGGAAAGCCAAUGUUUACUUUACUGUGAGCUUGGUGCUUCAGGACUUUUACCUUGAAAAAAUUAGAGUGUUCAAAGCAGGCUUACGCUUGAAUACAUUAGCAUGGAAUAACGGAAUAGGACGCUUGAUUCUAUUUUGUUGGUUUCUAGGAUCAACGUA
rnacentral:rRNA from 1 species